rnacentral:rRNA from 1 species
CCUACGGGUGGCAGCAGUGGGGAAUAUUGCACAAUGGGGGAAACCCUGAUGCAGCCAUGCCGCGUGUAUGAAGAAGGCCUUAGGGUUGUAAAGUACUUUCGGUGAUGAGGAAGGUGCUUGGUCUAAUAGGCCAAGUAAUUGAAGUUAAUUACAGAAGAAGCACCGGCUACUCCGUGCCAGCAGCCGCGGUAAUACGGAGGGUGCGAGCGUUAAUCGGAAUGACUGGGCGUAAAGGGCAUGUAGGCGGAUGAUUAAGUUAGAUGUGAAAUCCCCGAGCUCAACUUGGGAAUUGCAUUUAAAACUGGUCGUCUAGAGUAUUGUAGAGGAAGGUAGAAUUCCACGUGUAGCGGUGAAAUGCGUAGAGAUGUGGAGGAAUACCGGUGGCGAAGGCGGCCUUCUGGACAGAUACUGACGCUGAGAUGCGAAAGCGUGGGGAGCAAACAGGAUUAGAUACCCGAGUAGUC